AGAGUUUGAUCCUGGCUCAGAUUGAACGCUGGCGGCAUGCCUUACACAUGCAAGUCGAACGGCAGCAUGAUCUAGCUUGCUAGAUUGAUGGCGAGUGGCGAACGGGUGAGUAAUACAUCGGAACGUGCCCUGUAGUGGGGGAUAACUAGUCGAAAGAUUAGCUAAUACCGCAUACGACCUGAGGGUGAAAGUGGGGGACCGCAAGGCCUCAUGCUAUAGGAGCGGCCGAUGUCUGAUUAGCUAGUUGGUGAGGUAAAGGCUCACCAAGGCGACGAUCAGUAGCUGGUCUGAGAGGACGAUCAGCCACACUGGGACUGAGACACGGCCCAGACUCCUACGGGAGGCAGCAGUGGGGAAUUUUGGACAAUGGGCGAAAGCCUGAUCCAGCAAUGCCGCGUGUGUGAAGAAGGCCUUCGGGUUGUAAAGCACUUUUGUCCGGAAAGAAAUGGCCCUGGUUAAUACCUGGGGUCGAUGACGGUACCGGAAGAAUAAGGACCGGCUAACUACGUGCCAGCAGCCGCGGUAAUACGUAGGGUCCAAGCGUUAAUCGGAAUUACUGGGCGUAAAGCGUGCGCAGGCGGUUGUGCAAGACCGAUGUGAAAUCCCCGAGCUUAACUUGGGAAUUGCAUUGGUGACUGCACGGCUAGAGUGUGUCAGAGGGGGGUAGAAUUCCACGUGUAGCAGUGAAAUGCGUAGAGAUGUGGAGGAAUACCGAUGGCGAAAGCAGCCCCCUGGGAUAACACUGACGCUCAUGCACGAAAGCGUGGGUGGCGCUUAAUUGUGAUUUA
rnacentral:rRNA from 1 species